UGUGAUUUGGAAACUACUGGGAACAGCUGCUCUGUAAACGUACUGCAGGAGUCCAUCUAUUCAGGAAUUACGUGACGUCUGACUGAACGUUUGAGCUUUGUAAUGGGGUUGAAGGCGUCGAAAUCGGAGAAUGAUCUACAGAAAGAGAAGAAAUCGGGUUUUUUCAGCGAGAAAAAAUCGAAUGAGGAGAUCGCAGCUGAUGUUGAGAAGAAAUCAACUGAGUUGAUCGCAACUGAUGUUGAGGAGACAUCAACUGAUG